rnacentral:rRNA from 1 species
GGGAAUCUUCCACAAUGGGCGAAAGCCUGAUGGAGCAACGCCGCGUGGGUGAAGAAGGUUUUCGGAACGUAAAACUCUGUUGUUAGAGACGAACAAGGACGUUAGUAACUGAACGUCCCCUGACGGUAUCUAACCAGAAAGCCACGGCUAACUACGUUCCAGCAGCCGCGGUAAUACGUAGGUGGCAAGCGUUAUCCGGAAUGAUUGGGCGUAAAGGGUGCGUAGGCGGCAAAAUAAGUCUGAAGUAAAAGGCGUUGGCUCAACCAACGUAAGCUUUGGAAACUGUUAAUCUAGCGUGCAGGAGAGGUUAGUGGAAUUCCAUGUGUAGCGGUAAAAUGCGUAGAUAUAUGGAGGAACACCAGUGGCGAAGGCGGCUAACUGGCCUGUAACGGACGCUGAGGCACGAAAGCGUGGGGAGCA